rnacentral:rRNA from 1 species
AUGCUUGGCAUAAAAUAUGUGAAUGAUGAGCAUGAUUGCAAUGUUGUUAGUAUGAAUUCUUUGAAUACCCAUGAUACUAAUGAUAUGCAAAGCCACAAGCUUGGGGAUGCUAUGCUUUAUGAAGAUGAUAUGUUUAGUCCCCCAAAUUUUGAUGAGCAAAUUUGUUAUGAUGAAAGCAUGCCUCCUAUUUAUGAUGAUUAUUGUGAUGACACACAUGCUAUAAAGAAUAGAGAUAACCAUGAAACUUGUCAUCAUGAUUUUAAUUUUCAAUUGGAUUAUGCUUCACAUGAUAGUUAUUUUGUUGAGUUUGCUCCCACUACUAUUUAUGAGAAGAAAUUUGCUUACGUGGAGAGUAGUAAAAUUUCUAUGCUUGUAGAUCAUGAAAAGAAUGAUUUAGGUGCUGGUUAUAUUGUUGAAUUCAUUCAUGAUGCUACUGAAAAUUAUUAUGAGGGAGGAACAUAUGCUUGUAGGAAUUGCAAUAAUAUCAAGUUUCCUCUCUAUGUGCUUAAAGUUUUGAAGUUAUGCUUGUUUUGCCUUCCUAUGCUAGUUGAUUAUUGUUCCCAUAAGUUGUUUGCUCACAAAAUCCCUAUGCAUAGGAAGUGGGUUAGACUUAAAUGUGCUAGUCAUAUUCUUCAUGAUUCUCUCUUUAUGUUUCAACUCUUAUCUUUUAUGCGAGCAUCAUUGAAAUCAUCAUGCCUAGGUCGGGGCGUUAAACGUUAG